GAGGGCAAUAGGCUUGUUUUUCUGUGUACUGUGUUUCCUUUUACUUUUUUGUAGACGUCUCCCAUCAUCUUCCCACUCCCCAAAUUAUGAUUAGGCCAUUUGUACACAUUUACAUCCUAUUUUGUCCUCUUAAUGUUGUGUCAUAUUCUCCUACGCUAUUAAAAAAAACAGGUGAAAAUAUACUUCACGAACAUGUAAUAUUCUAUCAUGGAUAUGCCAUAAUUUGUAAAACCAUUUCUUAUUGUUGUACAUUUAGGGUGUUUCCAGGUUUGUUAUUGUUUUUUCCUUCUAUGGUGGACAUCCACAUCUUUAUAUGUAAAUCUUACAACUUUCUGAAAUGGAAUUUCUGGGGCAAAGAAUAAAGACCUCCAUUCUGG